UUGGAGGGCAAGUCUGGUGCCAGCAGCCGCGGUAAUUCCAGCUCCAAUAGCGUAUAUUAAAGUUGUUGCAGUUAAAAAGCUCGUAGUUGAAUUUCGGGAUCAAUAUGCCGGUCAUGCCUUGGUAUGCACUGGUAUCUUUGAUUUCUCCCUUCUGACGAACUUUGAUGUCAUUAAUUUGGUGUCAUAGGGAAUCAGGACUGUUACUUUGAAAAAAUUAGAGUGUUUAAAGCAGGCUCACGCUUGAAUACAUUAGCAUGGAAUAGUGAAAUAGGACGUUUGAUUCUAUUUUGUUGGUUUCUAGGAUCGACGUAAUGAUUAAUAGGGAUAGUUGGGGGCAUUAGUAUUCAAUUGUCAGAGGUGAAAUUCUUGGAUUUAUUGAAGACUAACUACUGCGAAAGCAUUUGCCAAGGAUGUUUUCAUUAAUCAAGAACGAAAGUUAGGGGAUCGAAGACGAUCAGAUACCGUCGUAGUCUUAACCAUAAACUAUGCCGACUAGGGAUCGGAUGAUGUUAAUUUUUUAAUGACUCAUUCGGCGCCUUACGGGAAAC
rnacentral:rRNA from 1 species